rnacentral:rRNA from 2 species
CAACAAGCUUGCUUGUUGGGGUUGUAGGACACUCUAUACGGAGUUACAAAGGACGACAUUAGACGAAUCAUCUGGAAAGAUGAAUCAAAGAAGGUGAUAAUCCUGUAGUCGAAAAUGUUGUCUCUCUUGAGUGGAUCCUGAGUACGACGGAGCACGUGAAAUUCCGUCGGAAUCUGGGAGGACCAUCUCCUAAGGCUAAAUACUCUCUAGUGACCGAUAGUGAACCAGUACCGUGAGGGAAAGGUGAAAAGCACCCCGGAAGGGGAGUGAAAUAGAACCUGAAACCGUGUGCUUACAAGUAGUCAGAGCCCGUUAAUGGGUGAUGGCGUGCCUUUUGUAGAAUGAACCGGCGAGUUACGAUUUGAUGCAAGGUUAAGCAGUAAAUGUGGAGCCGUAGCGAAAGCGAGUCUGAAUAGGGCGUUUAGUAUUUGGUCGUAGACCCGAAACCAGGUGAUCUACCCUUGGUCAGGUUGAAGUUCAGGUAACACUGAAUGGAGGACCGAACCGACUUACGUUGAAAAGUGAGCGGAUGAACUGAGGGUAGCGGAGAAAUUCCAAUCGAACCUGGAGAUAGCUGGUUCUCUCCGAAAUAGCUUUAGGGCUAGCCUCAAGUGAUGAUUAUUGGAGGUAGAGCACUGUUUGGACGAGGGGCCCCUCUCGGGUUACCGAAUUCAGACAAACUCCGAAUGCCAAUUAAUUUAACUUGGGAGUCAGAACAUGGGUGAUAAGGUCCGUGUUCGAAAGGGAAACAGCCCAGACCACCAGCUAAGGUCCCAAAAUAUAUGUUAAGUGGAAAAGGAUGUGGCGUUGCCCAGACAACUAGGAUGUUGGCUUAGAAGCAGCCAUCAUUUAAAGAGUGCGUAAUAGCUCACUAGUCGAGUGACACUGCGCCGAAAAUGUACCGGGGCUAAACAUAUUACCGAAGCUGUGGAUUGUCCUUUGGACAAUGGUAGGAGAGCGUUCUAAGGGCGUUGAAGCAUGAUCGUAAGGACAUGUGGAGCGCUUAGAAGUGAGAAUGCCGGUGUGAGUAGCGAAAGACGGGUGAGAAUCCCGUCCACCGAUUGACUAAGGUUUCCAGAGGAAGGCUCGUCCGCUCUGGGUUAGUCGGGUCCUAAGCUGAGGCCGACAGGCGUAGGCGAUGGAUAACAGGUUGAUAUUCCUGUACCACCUAUAAUCGUUUUAAUCGAUGGGGGGACGCAGUAGGAUAGGCGAAGCGUGCGAUUGGAUUGCACGUCUAAGCAGUAAGGCUGAGUAUUAGGCAAAUCCGGUACUCGUUAAGGCUGAGCUGUGAUGGGGAGAAGACAUUGUGUCUUCGAGUCGUUGAUUUCACACUGCCGAGAAAAGCCUCUAGAUAGAAAAUAGGUGCCCGUACCGCAAACCGACACAGGUAGUCAAGAUGAGAAUUCUAAGGUGAGCGAGCGAACUCUCGUUAAGGAACUCGGCAAAAUGACCCCGUAACUUCGGGAGAAGGGGUGCUCUUUAGGGUUAACGCCCAGAAGAGCCGCAGUGAAUAGGCCCAAGCGACUGUUUAUCAAAAACACAGGUCUCUGCUAAACCGUAAGGUGAUGUAUAGGGGCUGACGCCUGCCCGGUGCUGGAAGGUUAAGAGGAGUGGUUAGCUUCUGCGAAGCUACGAAUCGAAGCCCCAGUAAACGGCGGCCGUAACUAUAACGGUCCUAAGGUAGCGAAAUUCCUUGUCGGGUAAGUUCCGACCCGCACGAAAGGCGUAACGAUUUGGGCACUGUCUCAACGAGAGACUCGGUGAAAUCAUAGUACCUGUGAAGAUGCAGGUUACCCGCGACAGGACGGAAAGACCCCGUGGAGCUUUACUGUAGCCUGAUAUUGAAAUUCGGCACAGCUUGUACAGGAUAGGUAGGAGCCUUUGAAACGUGAGCGCUAGCUUACGUGGAGGCGCUGGUGGGAUACUACCCUAGCUGUGUUGGCUUUCUAACCCGCACCACUUAUCGUGGUGGGAGACAGUGUCAGGCGGGCAGUUUGACUGGGGCGGUCGCCUCCUAAAAGGUAACGGAGGCGCUCAAAGGUUCCCUCAGAAUGGUUGGAAAUCAUUCAUAGAGUGUAAAGGCAUAAGGGAGCUUGACUGCGAGACCUACAAGUCGAGCAGGGUCGAAAGACGGACUUAGUGAUCCGGUGGUUCCGCAUGGAAGGGCCAUCGCUCAACGGAUAAAAGCUACCCCGGGGAUAACAGGCUUAUCUCCCCCAAGAGUUCACAUCGACGGGGAGGUUUGGCACCUCGAUGUCGGCUCAUCGCAUCCUGGGGCUGUAGUCGGUCCCAAGGGUUGGGCUGUUCGCCCAUUAAAGCGGUACGCGAGCUGGGUUCAGAACGUCGUGAGACAGUUCGGUCCCUAUCCGUCGUGGGCGUAGGAAAUUUGAGAGGAGCUGUCCUUAGUACGAGAGGACCGGGAUGGACAUACCUCUGGUGUACCAGUUGUCGUGCCAACGGCAUAGCUGGGUAGCUAUGUGUGGACGGGAUAAGUGCUGAAAGCAUCUAAGCAUGAAGCCCCCCUCAAGAUGAGAUUUCCCAACUUCGGUUAUAAGAUCCCUCAAAGAUGAUGAGGUUAAUAGGUUCGAGGUGGAAGCAUGGUGACAUGUGGAGCUGACGAAUACUAAUCGAUCGAAGACUUAAUCAA